GACAGAGAGCAGAGGGCAGAAGGUUAGGUUCAGUUGACUGUGGAUGCUGGAAGAGAAAGAGGAUUGACCCAGAUCAGAACAGAGAGUAGCCUCGGAUGCACCAUCUGGGGGCUUCCUGCUCCUUGGGAAUGAGGGUCUGAUGUCAACGCCAGCUCACCACCAUGUGACACGUGCACCUGUGUCCAGGCCAGCCCACAGAGGCGCUCCAGGUGCCCAGCCUCCUGGAGUCCUUCCUGACUGCUUGUCCAAGACACCCAGGAAUCUCAGACUCGUCACAGCAGCCUUGUCACAGAAUUCAAUCUUGAGGUUAAACCGGGGCAAAACUUCCCUCAUUCAGCGGCGAGGAUGGGAAGCCGUGACUUUGCUCCUUGAUGCUGAGCCCUCCUGGAGCCCCGGGAAAGUCGGCUGGGCUGGCUCCUUCUGAUGGCUGAGCACAGGGACAAACUUCCUCUUCCAAGGCCACAGGCACUUCUUAGGUGUAACAGAGGAGGUGCCUAACCGCUCGCGCAGAGACAUGCUGAGCUUGAGUCAGACGCAGCCACCAGGUGGUGCCUUGGAUCACCUUCCACGGAGCAGGCCCGGCAUCUUCGUGGGAAGAAUACAUUGUCUAUGCGUGGUCAGGAGGGCACACUGAGGUAGCCUUCUAGGACUCACCUGUACCUGGCUCUCGUCUCCUGGACGCCCCCAGAGCAGCAGCGGCAGUCAGGAUUCAAAUCCUGAGCGUUUAACCAGCACACCGUGUGAGCUCAUCUGAUUGUCGCAAGGAGGCCAUCAUUGUGGCGACUCCAGGCCCCUCAGAAUCUGACAAGCUCCUCCUGCCUCGCUACAGAAUCACCUGUCUAGAAACCUGAAUGCUGCUCCCUUAAGAGUGCUGGAUAAACUGGGCCACAUCCAGCCUCUCUGACCGUGUUUAACUUCUACCGUAUCCAAUCUACUGCUGUUGUAGGGGAGGAAAAAUAAUUUUCCCUCUGCC